rnacentral:rRNA from 1 species
UACGUAGGGUGCGAGCGUUGUCCGGAAUUAUUGGGCGUAAAGAGCUCGUAGGCGGUUUGUCGCGUCGGCCGUGAAAACUUGGGGCUUAACCCCAAGCCUGCGGUCGAUACGGGCAGACUUGAGUUCGGCAGGGGAGACUGGAAUUCCUGGUGUAGCGGUGAAAUGCGCAGAUAUCAGGAGGAACACCGGUGGCGAAGGCGGGUCUCUGGGCCGAUACUGACGCUGAGGCGCGAAAGCGUGGGGAGCAAACGGG